CUUACCGGGUCCGGACACACUGAGGAUUGACAGGCAAAAGAUACAAGUUUUCUUUGUGAGAGCUUGCAUUGUAAAAUAUGCGAGUCCUUUCAUGAUUAUGUGAUAGGUGGUGCAUGGCCGUUCUUAGUUCGUGGAGUGAUCUGUCUGCUUAAUUGCGUUUCACAACGAUUUAAAAUGCUAUGUUUUCUGUGUUUGCUGUUCGGUUUUGCCCUUACGGGAGUUUUAACUUUGAACGCACACGGCGUAGCUUAAAACAAUCGGAAAGCAACGAACGUGACCGCAACCUCUUGUUGCCUUUAUUUUUAAAAGCGUAGAAAAUUUUAUAUUUUCUUACGCUUGAAAAAGGCUUUAAAASUAGAGGGACCGCUGUUCUAUUCUCUUAAACCAGAGGAAGAUUGCGGCAAUAACAGGUCUGUGAUGCCCUCAGAUGUUCCGGGCUGCACACGUGCUACAAUGAUUGUUGCAGUGAGCAUCUAUUUUCAAACGCUACCGUUGCGGAUUUUGUGAGAAGGGAGUUUGUUUUAAAGCUUUCGGGUGGAGAAGCAGGUUCUUUUUUUUACAAUUUAUUCCGCGUUACGUGUCAGCUAAACCUGCUUCGAAAGCAAGUAGGUAAUCAAUUGGAAGUAACGAUUUCCAUUUUUUGGAAAGCACAACUUUUUGGUUCGUAUGGUACUGCGAAGUUAACGCAGUUUACUGUGUCUUUCUCUCGUCGGUAUUCACACGGAUAUCUGUGCUACUAUUUUUAAAAUUCAAGGUGGGGACAGACCAUUGUUAAUUGUUGGUCUCGUUUUAACUAGGAAUGCCUUGUACGGGUUGGUUCAUCAAACCACCCGGAAUACGUCCCUGCCCUUUGUACACACCGCCCGUCGCUCUUACCGAUGGACUUCUCUGUGAGGUUGAGGGACUGGGUCCUUUGCGACCUACGGAAACUCAUUCGAACAGGGUGGUCUAAAGGAAAGAGAAGUCGUAACAAGGCAUCGGUAGGUGAACCUGCAGAAGGAUCA
rnacentral:rRNA from 1 species